rnacentral:rRNA from 1 species
GGAAUAUUGCACAAUGGGGGAAACCCUGAUGCAGCGACGCCGCGUGAAGGAAGAAGUAUUUCGGUAUGUAAACUUCUAUCAGCAGGGAAGAAAAUGACGGUACCUGGGUAAGAAGCGCCGGCUAACUACGUGCAAGCAGCCGCGGUAAUACGUAGGGGGCAAGCGUUACCCGGAUUUACUGGGUGUAAAGGGAGCGUAGACGGUAAUGUAAGUCUGAUGUGAAAGCCCGGGGCUCAACCCCGGGACUGCAUUGGAAACUAUGUAACUAGAGUACCGGAGAGGUAAGCGGAAUUCCUAGUGUAGCGGUGAAAUGCGUAGAUAUUAGGAGGAACACCAGUGGCGAAGGCGGCUUACUGGACGGAAACUGACGUUGAGGCUCGAAAGCGUGGGGAGCAAACAG